rnacentral:rRNA from 1 species
AUGAACGCUGGCGGCGUGCCUAACACCUGCAAGUCGAACGAAGCACCUUACCUGAUUCUUCGGAUGAACGUUUGGUGACUGAGUGGCGGACGGGUGAGUAACGCGUGGGUAACCUGCCCUGUACAGGGGUAUAACAGCUGGAAACUGCUGCUAAUACCGCAUAAGCGCACGAGGAGACAUCUCCUUGUGUGAAAAAAUCCGGUGGUACAGGAUGGGCCCGCCUCUGAUUAGCUGGUUGGCAGGGUAACGGCCUACCACGGCCACGAUCAGUAGCCGGGCUAGGAGGAUGAGCUGGCACAUUGGAAAGGAGACACGGUCCAAACCCCUACGGGAGGCAGCAGUGGGGAAUAUUGCAAAAUGGGGGAAACCCUGAUGCAGCAACGCCGCGUGAGUGAAGAAGUAAUUCGGUAUGUAAAGCUCUAUAAGCAGGGAAGAUAAUGACGGUACCUAACUAAGAAGCUACGGCUAAAUACGUG